GAGUAACACGUAUGCCAACCAACCCAUAACAGGGGGAUAACCCGGAGAAAUCCGGACUAAUACCGCAUAAGACCACGAUAUCGCAUGAUAUAGAGGUCAAAUUAUUUAUAGGUUAUGGACGGGCAUGCGUCUGAUUAGCUGGUGGCGGGGUAACGCCCACCAAGGCAUCGAUCAGUAGGGGUUCUGAGAGGAAGGUCCCCACAUUGGAACUGAGACACGGUCCAAACUCCUACGGGAGGCAGCAGUGAGGAAUAUUGGUCAAUGGGCGAAAGCCUGAACCAGCCAUGUCGCGUGAAGGAAUGAAGGUCCUAUGGAUUGUAAACUUCUUUUGCAGGAGGGUAAAGUGAGCUACGUGUAGUUCAUUGCAAGUACCCUGCGAAUAAGCAUCGGCUAACUCCGUGCCAGCCGCAGC
rnacentral:rRNA from 1 species